rnacentral:rRNA from 1 species
UACGUAGGGUGCGAGCGUUAAUCGGAAUUACUGGGCGUAAAGCGUGCGCAGGCGGCGCGUUAAGACAGGUGUGAAAGCCCCGAGCUUAACUUGGGAAUUGCGCUUGUGACUGGCGAGCUGGAGUGUGGCAGAGGGAGGUGGAAUUCCACGUGUAGCAGUGAAAUGCGUAGAGAUGUGGAGGAACCCCGAUGGCGAAGGCAGCCUCCUGGGCCAGCACUGACGCUCAUGCACGAAAGCGUGGGGAGCAAACAGG